UCCCCUAGUAACGGCGAGUGAAGCGGGAAGAGCUCAAAUUUGAAAUCUGGCAGUCUUCGAUUGUCCGAGUUGUAAUCUAUAGAGGCGUUUUCCGUGCCGGACCGUGUCCAAGUCUCCUGGAAAGGAGUAUCAAAGAGGGUGAUAAUCCCGUACUUAACACGACCACCGGUGCUCUGUGAUACGUCUUCUACGAGUCGAGUUGUUUGGGAAUGCAGCUCAAAAUGGGUGGUGAAUUCCAUCUAAAGCUAAAUAUUGGCGAGAGACCGAUAGCGAACAAGUACCGUGAGGGAAAGAUGAAAAGCACUUUGGAAAGAGAGUUAAACAGUACGUGAAAUUGUUGAAAGGGAAACGAUUGAAGUCAGUCGUGUUCUUUGGAUUCAGCCAGUUCUGCUGGUCUACUUCCUUGGAACGGGUCAACAUCAGUUUUGUCCGGUGGAUAAAGGUAGUAGGAAUGUGACUUCUCCGGAAGUGUUAUAGCCUAUUAUCACAUACACUGGGUGAGACUGAGGACUGCAGCUCGCCUUUAUGGCCGGUCUUCGGACACGUUCGAGCU
rnacentral:rRNA from 1 species